GAUCCUGGCUCAGGAUGAACGCUAGCGACAGGCCUAACACAUGCAAGUCGAGGGGCAGCGGGGAGGUAGCAAUACCUUGCCGGCGACCGGCGCACGGGUGAGUAACACGUAUGCAAUCCACCUGUAACAGGGGGAUAACCCGGAGAAAUCCGGACUAAUACCCCAUAAUAUGGGCGCUCCGCAUGGAGGGCUCAUUAAAGAAAGCAAUUUUGGUUACAGACGAGCAUGCGCUCCAUUAGCCAGUUGGCGGGGUAACGGCCCACCAAAGCGACGAUGGAUAGGGGUUCUGAGAGGAAGGUCCCCCACAUUGGAACUGAGACACGGUCCAAACUCCUACGGGAGGCAGCAGUGAGGAAUAUUGGUCAAUGGUCGGCAGACUGAACCAGCCAAGUCGCGUGAGGGAAGACGGCCCUACGGGUUGUAAACCUCUUUUGUCGGAGAGUAAAGUACGCUACGUGUAGCGUAUUGCAAGUAUCCGAAGAAAAAGCAUCGGCUAACUCCGUG
rnacentral:rRNA from 1 species